GAUGAACGCUGGCGGCGUGCUUAACACAUGCAAGUCGAACGGAAAUAUAUGGAAGCCUAGCGAAGUAUAUUUUAGUGGCGGACGGGUGAGUAACGCGUGGAUAACCUGCCUUAUACCGGGGGAUAACACUUAGAAAUAGGUGCUAAUACCGCAUAAGCGCACGUCUUUGCAUGAAGAUGUGUGAAAAACUCCGGUGGUAUAAGAUGGAUCCGCGUCUGAUUAGCUAGUUGGUGGGGUAAUGGCUCACCAAGGCGACGAUCAGUAGCCGGCCUGAGAGGGUGAACGGCCACAUUGGGACUGAGACACGGCCCAAACUCCUACGGGAGGCAGCAGUGGGGAAUAUUGCACAAUGGGCGAAAGCCUGAUGCAGCGACGCCGCGUGAGUGAAGAAGUA
rnacentral:rRNA from 1 species